rnacentral:rRNA from 1 species
CCCUGCCAUUUGUACACACCGCCCGUCGUUGUUUCCGAUGAUGGUGCAAUACAGGUGAUCGGACUGGCGAGAUUUCAUCUUGCCGGAAAGUUCACCGAUAUUUCUUCAUUAGAGGAAGUAAAAGUCGU